UACAGAGGGUGCAAGCGUUAAUCGGAGUUACUGGGCGUAAAGGGCACGUAGGCGGUCGAAUAAGUCAGUUGUGAAAUCCCCGGGCUUAACCUGGGAACUGCAGCUGAUACUGUGCGACUAGAGUCGAAGAGAGGGAAGCGGAAUUUCCGGUGUAGCGGUGAAAUGCGUAGAUAUCGGAAGGAACAUCUGUGGCGAAGGCGGCUUCCUGGCUUCAGACUGACGCUGAGGUGCGAAAGCGUGGGUAGCGAACAGG
rnacentral:rRNA from 1 species